GAGUUUGAUCCUGGCUCAGGACGAACGCUGGCGGCGUGCUUAACACAUGCAAGUCGAACGGGAUCCAUCAGGCUUUGCUUGGUGGUGAGAGUGGCGAACGGGUGAGUAAUGCGUGACCGACCUGCCCCAUACACCGGAAUAGCUCCUGGAAACGGGUGGUAAUGCCGGAUGCUCCAGUUGAUCGCAUGGUCUUCUGGGAAAGCUUUCGCGGUAUGGGAUGGGGUCGCGUCCUAUCAGCUUGACGGCGGGGUAACGGCCCACCGUGGCUUCGACGGGUAGCCGGCCUGAGAGGGCGACCGGCCACAUUGGGACUGAGAUACGGCCCAGACUCCUACGGGAGGCAGCAGUGGGGAAUUUUGCGCAAUGGGGGAAACCCUGACGCAGCAACGCCGCGUGCGGGACGAAGGCCUUCGGGUUGUAAACCGCUUUCAGCAGGGAAUAUAGUGAAGGUACCUGCAGAAGAAGCUCCGGCUAACUACGUGCCAGCAGCCGCGGUAAUAC
rnacentral:rRNA from 1 species